GAUGAACGCUGACAGAAUGCUUAACACAUGCAAGUCUACUUGAACUUCGGUUUGGGUGGCGGACGGGUGAGUAACGCGUAAAGAACUUGCCUCACAGUUAGGGACAACAUUUGGAAACGAAUGCUAAUACCUGAUAUUAUGAUUUUAGGGCAUCCUAGGAUUAUGAAAGCUAUAUGUGCUGUGAGAGAGCUUUGCGUCCCAUUAGCUAGUUGGAGAGGUAACGGCUCACCAAGGCGAUGAUGGGUAGCCGGCCUGAGAGGGUGAACGGCCACAAGGGGACUGAGACACGGCCCUUACUCCUACGGGAGGCAGCAGUGGGGAAUAUUGGACAAUGGACCAAAAGUCUGAUCCAGCAAUUCUGUGUGCACGAUGACGUUUUUCGGAAUGUAAAGUGCUUUCAGUUGGGAAGAAAAAAAGGACGGUACCAACAGAAGAAGUGACGGCUAAAUACGU
rnacentral:rRNA from 1 species